rnacentral:rRNA from 1 species
CUGCCCUUAGGAGAAGAAUAACUACUGGAAACGGUUGCUAACUCUUCAUAUACCGAGAGGUGAAAUAGUUUUGGCUGCCUAGGGAUGAGCUCACGCCUGAUCAGCUAGUUGGUAAGGUAAUGGCUUACCAAGGCCACGAUCAGUAGCUGGUUUGAGAGAACGAUCAGCCACACUGGGACUGAGACACGGCCCAGACUCCUCCGGGAGGCAGCAGUGAGGAAUUUUCCGCAAUGGGCGAAAGCCUGACGGAGCAAUACCGCGUGAGGGAUGAAGGAUUUUGGUCUGUAAACCUCUUUUCUCAAGAAAGAAGUUCUGACGGUACUUGAGGAAUAAGCAUUGGCUAACUCCGUGCCAGCAGCCGCGGUAAUACGGGGGAUGCAAGCGUUAUCCGAAAUCAUUGGGCGUAAAGCGCCUGUAGGUUGUUUAGUAAGUCCGUUGUUAAAGCCUAGGGCUUAACCCUAGAACAGCAAUGGAAACUACUAGACUAGAGUAUGGUAGGGGUAGAGGGAAUUUCUAGUGUAGCGGUGAAAUGCGUAGAUAUUAGAAAGAACACCAGUGGCGAAAGCGCUCUACUGGACCAUCACUGACACUCAGAGGCGAAAGCUAGGGUAGCAAAAGGG